UAUAAGGACAACAUUUUUUUCUUGAAUGCACGAGAGAGGUCGAUGGUCGUCCUCCAAUCGUCAAUGCUUCAUGAAGAUAAGCGGUUACAAGAGAAGUGGAUUGCUGUUUGUGAUGUGAGUCACUUGAGAAUUUGGUGACGUUUUCCAUAGCCAAGACGACUAUCAUACAACACAAGGACAGUCAAAAGAGCUUCAUGAAGAAGGCACUACAGCUGGUAUUCAUUAACAAGAAAACACAAUAACGAUGGAUUCCCUUUUAGUAUGGAGCACCGUCACUCUGAUUAUACUGCUUCGAAC